UAUUUGUACCAGAUGCUCCUUUUUCUGUAUUGUCAGAAAGAGCAUCCUGUGCAAAAGA
ensembl:miRNA mdo-mir-7371d mdo-mir-7371d